rnacentral:rRNA from 1 species
AUUGAACGCUGGCGGCAGGCCUAACACAUGCAAGUCGAACGGCAGCACAGAAGAGCUUGCUCUUUGGGUGGCGAGUGGCGGACGGGUGAGUAAUGUCUGGGAAACUGCCCGAUGGAGAGGGAUAACUACUGGAAACGGUAGCUAAUACCGCAUAACGUCGCAAGACCAAAGUGGGGGACCUUCGGGCCUCACACCAUCGGAUGUGCCCAGAUGGGAUUAGCUAGUAGGUGGGGUAAUGGCUCACCUAGGCGACGAUCCCUAGCUGGUCUGAGAGGAUGACCAGCCACACUGGAACUGAGACACGGUCCAGACUCCUACGGGAGGCAGCAGUGGGGAAUAUUGCACAAUGGGCGCAAGCCUGAUGCAGCCAUGCCGCGUGUAUGAAGAAGGCCUUCGGGUUGUAAAGUACUUUCAGCGGGGAGGAAGGCGGUGAGGUUAAUAACCUUGCCGAUUGACGUUACCCGCAGAAGAAGCACCGGCUAACUCCGUGCCAGCAGCCGCCGUAA